rnacentral:rRNA from 1 species
AUUGAACGCUGGCGGCAGGCCUAAUACAUGCAAGUCGAGCGAGCGGCAGACGGGUGAGUAAUGUAUGGGGACUGCCCGAAAGAGGGGGAUAACUACUGGACACGGUGGCUAAUACCGAAUACUAUCGGAUGACACAUAGGGGUUUAGCUAGUAGGUGGGGUAAAGGCUCACCUCGGCGACGAUCUCUAGCUGGUCUGAGAGGCUGAUCAGCCACACUGGGACUGAGACACGGCCCAGACUCCUACGGAGGCAGCAGGGGGGAAUAUUGCACAAUGGGCGCAAGCCUGAUGCCGCCAUGCCGCGUGUAUGAAGAAGGCCUUAGGGUUGUAAAGUACUUUCAGCGGGGAGGCGUUACCCGCAGAAGAAGCACCGGCUCACUCCGUGCCAGCCGCCGCGGUAAUUC